rnacentral:rRNA from 1 species
AGAGUUUGAUCCUGGCUCAGGACGAACGCUGGCGGCGCGCCUAACACAUGCAAGUCGAACGAGCGAGAGAGAGCUUGCUUUCUCAAGCGAGUGGCGAACGGGUGAGUAACGCGUGAGGAACCUGCCUCAAAGAGGGGGACAACAGUUGGAAACGACUGCUAAUACCGCAUAAGCCCACGGCUCGGCAUCGAGCAGAGGGAAAAGGAGCAAUCCGCUUUGAGAUGGCCUCGCGUCCGAUUAGCUAGUUGGUGAGGUAACGGCCCACCAAGGCGACGAUCGGUAGCCGGACUGAGAGGUUGAACGGCCACAUUGGGACUGAGACACGGCCCAGACUCCUACGGGAGGCAGCAGUGGGGAAUAUUGCACAAUGGGGGAAACCCUGAUGCAGCGACGCCGCGUGGAGGAAGAAGGUCUUCGGAUUGUAAACUCCUGUUGUUGAGGAAGAUAAUGACGGUACUCAACAAGGAAGUGACGGCUAACUACGUGCCAGCAGCCGCGGUAAAACGUAGGUCACAAGCGUUGUCCGGAAUUACUGGGUGUAAAGGGAGCGCAGGCGGGAAGACAAGUUGGAAGUGAAAUCCAUGGGCUCAACCCAUGAACUGCUUUCAAAACUGUUUUUCUUGAGUAGUGCAGAGGUAGGCGGAAUUCCCGGUGUAGCGGUGGAAUGCGUAGAUAUCGGGAGGAACACCAGUGGCGAAGGCGGCCUACUGGGCACCAACUGACGCUGAGGCUCGAAAGUGUGGGUAGCAAACAGGAUUAGAUACCCUGGUAGUCCACACCGUAAACGAUGAUUACUAGGUGUUGGAGGAUUGACCCCUUCAGUGCCGCAGUUAACACAAUAAGUAAUCCACCUGGGGAGUACGACCGCAAGGUUGAAACUCAAAGGA